GGGGGAAUAUUGCACAAUGGGGGAAACCCUGAUGCAGCAACGCCGCGUGAAGGAUGAAGGUUUUCGGAUCGUAAACUUCUAUCAACAGGGACGAAACAAAUGACGGUACCUGAAUAAGAAGCCCCGGCUAACUACGUGCCAGCAGCCGCGGUAAUACGUAGGGGGCAAGCGUUAUCCGGAAUUACUGGGUGUAAAGGGAGCGUAGGCGGCACGUCAAGCCAGAUGUGAAAGCCCGGGGGCUUAACCCCGUGGAUUGCAUUUGGAACUGGCGAGCUAGAGUACAGGAGAGGAAAGCGGAAUUCCUAGUGUAGCGGUGAAAUGCGUAGAUAUUAGGAAGAACACCAGUGGCGAAGGCGGCUUUCUGGACUGAAACUGACGCUGAGGCUCGAAAGCGUGGGGAGCAAACAGGAUUAGAUACCC
rnacentral:rRNA from 1 species